UAUUUAAAAUUAUGAUUUUUUUUAGUAAAUAUAGUUGGGAUAUUUUCAAACCAAAUUUUAAAGAUAUAUUCCCGACAUCACUUAACACGUUUAGAAUAAACAAUUUUAAAAUAUUCUUAACAGAGUUAAAUCUUAAUUGAUAAUCAAAUUAUAUACUUAAAUAUAAAUAAAAUUUUUCUAAUCCUUGCCAAAUUUCAUAUAUGGAAUGCAUCAUUUGUAUCUUUUGGUCUAUCCUCAACUCAAUCUAUUAAGCAGGUUUAAG
rnacentral:misc_RNA from 1 species